rnacentral:misc_RNA from 1 species
UACGUAGGUGACAAGCGUUGUCCGGAUUUAUUGGGCGUAAAGAGCUCGUAGGCGGUUUGUCACGUCUGCUGUGAAAGCCCGGGGCUUAACCCCGGGUGUGCAGUGGGUACGGGCAGACUAGAGUGCAGUAGGGGAGACCGGAAUUCCUGGUGUAGCGGUGAAAUGCGCAGAUAUCAGGAGGAACACCGAUGGCGAAGGCAGGUCUCUGGGCUGUUACUGACGCUGAGGAGCGAAAGCAUGGGGAGCGAACAGG